rnacentral:lncRNA from 1 species
GGGGUCAGGGAGGGGUUGGUUCUGUGGCAGAGAGCUGAGCUCUGCCUUAGUAGCCCAAUAAGCACAGAGUGAUGGUACAGGAAUGGGUCCUGCAUGGGUGGGUGUUAGCAGUGUGCUGGUGGGAGUGCAGCUGUCAGUGCUGUGCAUCGGGGGUGAGACGUGCAGCUGGUCAGUGCCGCUCUGUGCACACGUUCUGUGAGAGUACAGGCAGGGCUAAGUGAGUUGGUGCCCUUCACCUGCCACAUACACACAGAAAUUUGUAAUGGGUGCCUCCUCACCCGCUGUGAUUCCACAUUGCUCCAUAUGUACCAGGUCCCUGCAGAAUGGAGAUCACUCUCCCCCAAGGUUUUUGGUUUUGCCCCAUUUGUACCAUUGAGAAGCUGAAAGCAGCACAGAGCAACUGUGAGCUGCAGCCCUCCUCCCCCCACCUUAAGUAGAGAUGGGAGCACCGUCACAGCUGCAGCUCAUCUGGGACAGCUGGUGCUGCAUUGGGUUCACCUGAUGGAGCAUCCCCAAGAACACCAUGACAGCUUUCCUGUGCUCUGCAAGACACCCUGUGAUGGGAAGGCUCUGUCACAUUCCAGGGCCAGGACAGCUGCUGGGGCUGGGGGUGGCCCACCUCUAUACCCCCCUGCAGGGCCACUCCGGGUGGCAGCCGCUGGAUGUGGGCUUCCAUUCAUCCCCUCCCUGCGCGGUUUCUCGGGGUCACUGCUCUGCACCACCACGACUCCAAUGGGGUCAGAAAUGCUGGGGUGGAAGAGCUCGAAGAGCAGCAGCUGAGCGCCUGUGUGGCUGCGUGUUCUGAGGGGGGGUUUAAAAUUAUUCUUAAUCUUUGGUACUUGGCUGUUCCUCAGCAGAGCCCCUCCUGACGGCACCUCCUGCUCCUGCACCUCCCACACUGCUACGCCUCCUACACUCCUGCACUGCUGCAUCUGCACCUCCCACGCUGCUGCGCUUCCUACACUCCUGCACUGUUGCACCUCCUGCACUGCUGCACCGCUGCACCUGCACCUCCUGCACAACUGCACAACUGCACUUGCACCACCUGCACCUCCUGUACUGCUGUACUGCACCACCUGCACUGCUGCCUGGAGCAGCACUGGGGAGUACCGUGUGCUCAUCUUCGGGGAGGCCCAUCCAGAACCGGGUGCUGCUGUCAGGUUCAUUGGCUGUGCCACAGGGUCUGCGGCUGCGGGGCUGUGCUCAUGAGGACCCAGCAGCAGCCACCCGGUGCUGCAGAACAAAGCCAAUUAGCAGGGCUCCAGCUCCCUGAUAAUAAUUCUUAGGAGAAGAGGAACUGUUCUGGAAUACAUUAUUGUCUUCAUUUCUUUUCAUGUGCAAAGAAAUAAAAAGCUUGCCCUUCGCUGGCAGCCAGGGUGAGGACAAUCCAGUGGUAAUGAGAGAAGCCCUACUCAGAGGCAGUCCUGCCCUCUCCCUCCCAGCACACAGAAGGUUUGGGGGCUUCUGAUUGCCUCCCACCUCCCCUGAUGCCCCCAUAUGCCAAGGGGCAGCAGCACAGAGCCCCACGUUGCUGGAGGCUGCAGUGCCCAGGGGUGCAAGCAGGAGCCUCACAGGGUGGAUGUGAAGGAGCAGAGGCUGUUUGGAUUGCAGUACCUGUAUGAUAAUUACUGCAGACUUAAUUACCUCCCAUACACACUGCACAAAGUGCAUGGGAGGUAGGAGUGGUGUCCUUUGAUACCAGCUAGUGUCAGAAAAUAAUUUUAAUCUGCCUUACAACUAUAUAAUUAAAAGCACUUAUAUAUAGACGUAUCUACACACACACACGUGUAUCUCUUUCCUGUGCUGAUGGACCCACAACCGUUCUGCCCGGCGGUGGCAUUGACCCCCAUGGCCGGAGCAGUGGGGCUGAGUUACUGCUGUGCCCCAACACAGAGCACUGAGCUCAGCAGUGCCCAGAGGAGGAGGAGGAGGAGGAAGAGGCUGAAGCUCCUCUGAGGGGGCGGGGAGAUCUGUAAAUACAGCAGGUUAAAGGCUGGCAGUGUGACUGCAGUCUGUAUUUCAAGCAGAUGUUUCCCAUGUUUUGUAGUAUCGUUUUAUUGGUAAAUAAAAACCAAC